GCCUGGGUGGCUCAGUGGUUGAGCAUCUGCCUUUGGCUCAGUCGUGAUCCUGAGGUCCUGGGAUCAAGUCCCACAUCAGGCU
rnacentral:tRNA from 1 species